rnacentral:rRNA from 1 species
UACGGGGGGGGCAAGCGUUGUUCGGAAUUACUGGGCGUAAAGCGUGCGCAGGCGGCUUCUCAAGUCACAUGUGAAAGCCCCGGGCUCAACCCGGGAAGUGCAUGUGAUACUGCAGAGCUUGAGUAAGGGAGAGGAUGGCAGAAUUCCUGGUGUAGUGGUGAAAUACGUAGAUAUCAGGAGGAACUCCGGUGGCGAAGGCGGCCAUCUGGCCCAUUACUGACACUCAGACCCGAAAGCGUGGGUAGCAAACAGG